rnacentral:rRNA from 1 species
ACAACUUUCAACAGUGGAUCUCUCGGCUCUUGCAUCGAUGAAGAACGCAGCAAAGUGCGAUACUUAAUGUGACUCGCAAUUCUCGUGAACCAUCUACUCUUUGAACGCAUAUUGCACCCCGUGGGCAGCUGCGGGGUAUGCCUGUUUGAGAAUUGGAA